rnacentral:rRNA from 1 species
UACGGAGGGUGCAAGCGUUAAUCGGAAUUACUGGGUUCAAAGGGUGCGUAGGCGGCCAGGUAAGUCAGGAGUGAAAGUUUGCGGCUCAACCGUAAAAUUGCUUUUGAUGCUGCCAGGCUAGAAUUAGGAUGAGGUCAGCGGAAUGUGGCAUGUAGCGGUGAAAUGCAUAGAUAUGCCAUAGAACACCAAUUGCGAAGGCAGCUGGCUAGACCUGGAUUGACGCUGAGGCACGAAAGCGUGGGGAGCAAACAGG